rnacentral:rRNA from 1 species
UACGGAGGGGCCUAGCGUUGUUCGGAAUUACUGGGCGUAAAGCGCACGUAGGCGGCUUUGUAAGUUAGAGGUGAAAGCCCGGGGCUCAACUCCGGAAUUGCCUUUAAAACUGCAUCGCUAGAAUUGUGGAGAGGUGAGUGGAAUUCCGAGUGUAGAGGUGAAAUUCGUAGAUAUUCGGAAGAACACCAGUGGCGAAGGCGACUCACUGGACACAUAUUGACGCUGAGGUGCGAAAGCGUGGGGAGCAAACAGG